CCCGCCCCUGGAAGCCUCUCCCUGUGGCUGCUGUGUCACACGUGCGGCAGUAGGAGGCAGAGAGGAGAGGGUCUGUCUACAUUCAGUGUUCUUCUGUCCUGUGAACAUCUCAGUGAUUGGCAGCUUAACACU